GUCAUUUUGGUGGACAUUGUGAGAUCUGUGGGUCCAGUGGGUGAGGUAUGUGACUAUUAUAUUGCAAAGCCACUAAUAUUCAUUGAUGAAUGAGGAAUGCUCCUGACAUCUACUUCUUACUAUUUUAAGAUACUGCAGACUGUGAGGAUUCCAAGCCAAAGGCAAGCUAUUGGUAUCGAGGUUGAACUAAAUGAAAUAGAAUCCCGGUGUGAAGAAUACCCAUUGACUCGGGCCUUUUGCCAGCUUAUUAGUACCCUGGUGGAGAGCUCAUUUCCUUCUAAUUUGGGUGCUGGACUGCGGCCCCCUGGCUUUGACCCUUAUUUGCAGUUCCUUAGAGACUCUGUGUUUCUACGAUUCCGUACGAGAGCUUACCGGAGAGCAGCUGAAAAGUGGGAAGUUGCUGAGGUGGUUUUGGAGGUGUUUUAUAAAUUGCUCAGAGAUUAUGAGCCUCAGCUUGAAGAUUUUGUAGACCAGUUUGUGGAACUACAAGGAGAAGAAAUCAUAGCCUAUAAGCCACCUGGAUUUAGUCUGAUGUAUCAUCUGCUGAAUGAGUCACCAAUGUUGGAGCUUG
rnacentral:sRNA from 1 species